AUGCAGUUCAGGUGUGGUGGAGAGGUCAAAAACACUUUAUAGAAAGGUUUCAAAAACUUCAAAACUCAGCUUUAAGAAAGAUUCUAGGAGUAUUCAAAACUACUCCAAUUAAAGCUAUGGAAAUUGAAGCCUCUAUUUCUCCACCACAAGUGAGAUUUGAUAAAAUCUGUAUGAAUUAUGCUCUCAGAAUUAUGAAGCUAUAUUCACAUCAUUCUAUUAGAAAGAGAGUUUCAAGUUCUUUUCCAAAUGAGUCAAAUGGAUUAGAAUUAGAUUGGGAACUUUAUCUUGAUUGGAAUGAGACUGAUUUAUCUGAAAAUUCAAGUUCUUUACAAAGA
rnacentral:sRNA from 1 species